rnacentral:rRNA from 1 species
UACGAAGGGGGCUAGCGUUGCUCGGAAUCACUGGGCGUAAAGCGCACGUAGGCGGAUUGCUAAGUCAGGGGUGAAAUCCUGGAGCUCAACUCCAGAACUGCCUUUGAUACUGGCAAUCUUGAGUCCGGAAGAGGUGAGUGGAACUCCUAGUGUAGAGGUGGAAUUCGUAGAUAUUAGGAAGAACACCAGUGGCGAAGGCGGCUCACUGGUCCGGUACUGACGCUGAGGUGCGAAAGCGUGGGGAGCAAACAGG